ACAUUGGGGGGGGGGGGGCCUGGAACAGUUUGUUUGGAACAUUUCAAUUUAUAGGAUGGAUUGAUGGAACAUUGCCGGGUGAGGUGGGUUCGUCGUCUCGCACCAUCGAGAAGCUGUGAGGAGGCGGUAACAAGCGGCACGGCACGGCGGCGGGGUGUGUUGCGGCAGCAGGGGCUGGGCGGAUCGCCGGAUCGGGACUAUAUCUAUCCUGGUUAUCAAAUUGUUAAGAGUCGUUGACCAACCAUGAUAACAUUUGUCGUGAAAUCAUGGGCUAGCUUACAGUAUUUGGAGCUUUUGAAGACGGCCAAGAGAAUCAGGUAUGGAACCAUUAAAAAUAUUAUUUCCUAGAUUUAGAAUUGUUAAGCUUGAUAUGUUCCCAAGUGCCUCAGGAAUUCCACCACUUAUCGUAUUGCCAUCCAAUACCCUGAAACAAUAAUGUGCAACAAUCAGGAACUUUCUCCGAAUAUAUUUGAAUUUAUGGGAAAUGAAUGUUACAUAGUCCGAAAAAACUAUCAUCGAGCUUACAGCUCUUGUAAAGUUGUUAGUUCUGCAAUGCUGGGUGACAAGACUCCGCGUAACCCUGUUGAGCUCAAUUUUCUGCAAACAACCAAAAAAAAUAAAACAACGCAAAAAUCAAUGUAAAGAAAAGUAUACAUAGUGUUCAACCUUGUAAUAGCAAAAAAAAAAGGAAAGCCUGCAAAUGAUCUACGCGAUACCCAAAUGCAUACUCUUCUCCUGUAAUAAACAGUUGUAAUCAAUCCUUUAGACAUUAACUUGAACAAUUGGAGGUUUGUCUGUCCUAAAAGAGGUGUUUUAUGGUCUUUAGAAGAUAACAAGAGGUAUAGAAACAAAUGUCUUGGGAGAAACGGGGAACCUAGCUGCCUUGGGCAGGAAUGGAAUACACAGUUCAGGCAGUAGAGUUGAAUCCCCUAUACUUACAUGGCAAUUACUUUGUUGCCUUGACAAAUAACAUUUCCCCACCCGCAGGGGGUCAUUUGAUUAUUCUUCCAGUCGUUUAGGACAUCAUUUUCAUCAAUGAGAUGCAUCUUGAUUUCAUACAGUGCUGUAACUGUGGAUGAAAAACGAAGCCUUAUUUGUGGGAUUCAGGUAGACGAAAGAAAACAAAACUUGGCGAAAUGAUUCUGAUGUCAACCUGAUAAUUGUCUCACAUGAACUCUGGAUCAGUUAAGUUAGCCAUGUAGGCCAUGCCAAAUAUUUAAGCCUUGAGUGAAAAAUGAUCAAUACUAGAUAGAUGGGCAGGGCAUUAUGUAAAACUUUUCUACAGUUUUAAAUUCCUGACUGGUCACAUGUAAUACUGGUGGGCACAUCUUUAACAGACUUCAGUGUUUAGUACAGGCAGUCUAGUCAAUAUAGCACAAUACAUCCUGAGCUUUGUUAGUUCGGAACCUUUUCUCAAUUUAAGUAUAAUAACUUCUUUAUAUCAUUCCUGCCAAAUAAGAAAAAACUGAUGCGGCGAAGACAUGUUCAAACUGUAAAGGCCUUACCUUGGUAAUCACAAGUAACAAAACCUUGUAAGCACCCCAACAAGACUAAACCAAAAGCUAAUAGCUUCAUACUUUCUGAAAGUAUCCUCUGUUUGUUUUGUUUUCAGAGACAGAAGUACUGUAUGUGCACGCUGAAUCUAUUUGCUUGAUUGAAAACAGAAGCCCUCACGAAGGGAGAUCAGUGCAAGACAGCUGCAUCACUGAGCAAUAAAAGAAUAUGUAUAAGAGGAGAACCAACUGGGAAGAAUGGAAAACAGAAAUUACUCAGAGGAAAUCUAACAAGGUCCUAAUGGGAUAAUCUCCUUCGCAACUAGAUAGAUCUUCUCAAUGAUCACCUUUUGUAACAAGGGUUACCCGGUGCAGAUUGAGGCAUCCACGAGACCACGAGUAGCCUUAAAGGUACUGUUUGGGCUGAAGCGAAACAAGAGACUACAACCUCCUCGCAGGAAGCUGUUAUGGUAGAUCCUACCAGGAGUAGCCAUACCCAUACCCUUACUGCUCUAACAGGAGGUCCCAGCCGAACUGCCGAACAAAUAGAGAACCAAAGAAACAGCAGAACUUACCAAA